rnacentral:rRNA from 1 species
AAGAAAGUAAUUAAGGGCGCAUGGUGGAUGCCUUGGCUCUCAUUGGCGAAGAAAGACGUGAUAAGCUGCGAUAAGUUACGGGGAGGUGCAAAUAACCUUUGAUCCGUAAAUUUCUGAAUGGGGCAACCCUCUAGAUUGAAGAUCUAGAAUCCCGCAAGGGAAGCAAACCCGGAGAACUGAAACAUCUAAGUACCCGGAGGAAAAGAAAACAAAAGUGAUUUCCUAAGUAGUGGCGAGCGAACGGGAAAUAGCCCAAACCUGGGUGGUUACGGCCAUCCAGGGGUUGUAGGACUGCAACGUGGACUUUAAAAGCAUAGUAGAAUUACCUGGAAAGGUAAGCCAUAGGAAGUGAAAGCCUUGUAUACAAAAUGUUUUUAAUACCUAGCAGUAUCCUGAGUACCACGGGGUCGGAGACGCCUUGUGGGAAUCUGCCGGCACCAUCCGGUAAGGCUAAAUACACAUGAGAGACCGAUAGUGAACUAGUACCGUGAGGGAAAGGUGAAAAGCACCCCGAACAGGGGAGUGAAAUAGUACCUGAAACCGUGCGCUUACAAGCGGUAGGAGUCCCGAUUUAUCGGGAUGACUGCGUGCCUUUUGCAUAAUGAGCCUACGAGUUACUCCUCUCUGGCAAGGUUAAAUUCUUUAAAGAAUGGAGCCGAAGCGAAAGCGAGUCUGAAUAGGGCGUAUAGUCAGAGGGGGUAGACGCGAAACCUUGUGAUCUACCCAUGACCAGGUUGAAAGGCGGGUAACACCGUCUGGAGGACCGAACCAGUAAACGUUGAAAAGUUUUUGGAUGAGUUGUGGGUAGGGGUGAAAGGCUAAUCAAACUGGGAAAUAGCUCGUACUCCCCGAAAUGUUUUUAGGAACAGCCUCGAGGUUGAGUUUUAUAGAGGUAGAGCUACUGAUAGGGCUAGGGGGCUUCACCGCCUACCAAACCCUGACAAACUCCGAAUGCUAUAAAAUAUACUCGGGAGUGAGGCUUUGGGUGCUAAGGUCCAGAGCCGAGAGGGAAAGAACCCAGACCAUCAGCUAAGGUCCCCAAAUGUAUGUUAAGUUGAUCUAACGUGGUCCGAUCGCACAGACAGCUAGGAUGUUGGCUUGGAAGCAGCCAUUCAUUUAAAGAGUGCGUAACAGCUCACUAGUCGAGCGAUUGGGCGUGGAUAAUAAUCGGGCAUAAAACAUACUACCGAAGCUAUGGAUUUCAAUUUAUUGAAAUGGUAGGGGAGCAUUCCAGCCGCGUAGAAGGUGAACCGUCAGGUUUGCUGGAGCAUCUGGAAAAGCAAAUGUAGGCAUAAGUAACGAUAAUGCGGGCGAGAAACCCGCACGCCGAUAGACUAAGGUUUCCUGAUCAACGCUAAUCGGAUCAGGGUUAGUCGGGACCUAAGGCGAAGCCGAAUGGCGUAGUCGAUGGACAACAGGUUAAUAUUCCUGUACCUGUAUAUAUUGCGAUGGGGUGACGGAGAAGUGAAAGGUCUGCGUACUGACGGAAUAGUACGUUGAAGCCUGUAGGUAUAGGUUUGGUAGGUAAAUCCGCCAGACUUGCUGAACGGUGAUAGUACCACAAACCUUCGGGUGCGUGGAUAAUGACCCUAAACAUGCUUCCAAGAAAAACCUCUAAGCUUCAGAUAUAUACAGCUCGUACCACAAACCGACACAGGUAGUCAAGAAGAGAAUUCUAAGGCGCUCGAGUGAAUCAUGGCUAAGGAACUCGGCAAAUUAACCCUGUAACUUCGGGAAAAAGGGUGCCCCCGGCAACGGGGGCCGCAGUGAAAUGGCCCAGGCGACUGUUUAUCAAAAACACAUGGCUUUGCUAAAUCGCAAGAUGAUGUAUAAGGCCUGACACCUGCCCGGUGCUGGAAGGUUAAAAGGAGAGGUCAUCCCGCAAGGGAGAAGCUUUGAAUUGAAGCCCCAGUAAACGGCGGCCGUAACUAUAACGGUCCUAAGGUAGCGAAAU